rnacentral:rRNA from 1 species
UAAUGGCCUACCAAGGCUUUGACGGGUAGCCGGCCUGAGAGGGUGACCGGCCACACUGGGACUGAGACACGGCCCAGACUCCUACGGGAGGCAGCAGUGGGGAAUAUUGGACAAUGGGCGGAAGCCUGAUCCAGCAACGCCGCGUGAGGGAUGACGGCCUUCGGGUUGUAAACCUCUUUCACCAUUGACGAAGCUGCAUCUUUUUGGGUGUGGUGACGGUAGGUGGGGAAGAAGCACCGGCCAACUACGUGCCAGCAGCCGCGGUAAUACGUAGGGUGCGAGCGUUGUCCGGAAUUAUUGGGCGUAAAGGGCUCGUAGGCGGUUUGUCGCGUCGGGAGUGAAAACCUCGGGCUUAACUCGGGGCUUGCUUUCGAUACGGGCAGACUAGAGGUAUGCAGGGGAGAACGGAAUUCCUGGUGUAGCGGUGAAAUGCGCAGAUAUCAGGAGGAACACCGGUGGCGAAGGCGGUUCUCUGGGCAUGAUCUGACGCUGAGGAGCGAAAGUGUGGGGAGCGAACAGGAUUAGAUACCCUGGUAGUCCACACCGUANACGUUGGGCGCUAGGUGUGGGGUCCAUUCCACGGGUUCCGUGCCGCAGCUAACGCAUUAAGCG